rnacentral:lncRNA from 1 species
UCUACCUGCUGCAUGAAGUGCCCGGGGCGAACGCCUCGAGAGAGGAGCCCUUCGCGCCGGGUGCGCAGUUUCUCGUCGCGCACUGCCCCAAUGUAAGAGAGCUUGUAUUUCGUGCGGCCGGACCACGCGACCUUCGUCCCUUGUGCGCGCUGCGGCACCUCGAACGGUUGUGCUUGUGCUACGGUGGCCGAGGUGGGCGCGCGUUCCUGGACGAGUCCCUGCUCGAUGCGCUGGGUCACGUCGCGACCAACCUGCGUCACCUGGAUUUGCCCACCGAGGCACACUUACGGCCUCAAGCGCUGGCGGACGCUUGUCCAGCGCUGGAAUCGCUGGUAGCGCGGUGCUUCCUUCGGCGGAUCAGCCAGGCGCUGGCAGUCGAUCCCCGC